UCUAGUGUCCUAAGUGGCACAGGAUGUGCCGGUUCGAAGGACCAUCUCGAACACAGCAGUUAAGUCCUCCAGCGCCGAUGGUACUAUAGGGGCAGCCUUAUGGGAGAGUAGGUCGCUGCCAGAA
rfam:Halobacteroides halobius DSM 5150, complete genome.